rnacentral:rRNA from 1 species
AGAGUUUGAUCCUGGCUCAGGAUGAACGCUAGCGACAGGCUUAACACAUGCAAGUCGAGGGGCAGCAUAGAAGUAGCAAUACUUUGGUGGCGACCGGCGCACGGGUGAGUAACGCGUAUGCAACCUACCUAUCAGAGGGGAAUAACCCGGCGAAAGUCGGACUAAUACCGCAUAAAACAGGGGCACCGCAUGGUGAUAUUUGUUAAAGAAAUUCGCUGAUAGAUGGGCAUGCGUUCCAUUAGGUAGUUGGUGAGGUAACGGCUCACCAAGCCGACGAUGGAUAGGGGAACUGAGAGGUUGGUCCCCCACACUGGUACUGAGACACGGACCAGACUCCUACGGGAGGCAGCAGUGAGGAAUAUUGGUCAAUGGGCGAGAGCCUGAACCAGCCAAGUCGCGUGAAGGAAGAAGGAUCUAUGGUUCGUAAACUUCUUUUGCAGGGGAAUAAAGUGCAGGACGUGUCCUGUUUUGUAUGUACCCUGAGAAUAAGGAUCGGCUAACUCCGUGCCAGCAGCCGCGGUAAUACGGAGGAUCCGAGCGUUAUCCGGAUUUAUUGGGUUUAAAGGGUGCGUAGGUGGUUUGAUAAGUCAGCGGUGAAAGUUUGCAGCUUAACUGUAAAAAUGCCGUUGAAACUGUCGGACUUGAGUGUAAAUGAGGUAGGCGGAAUGCGUGGUGUAGCGGUGAAAUGCUUAGAUAUCACGCAGAACUCCGAUUGCGAAGGCAGCUUACUAAGCUACAACUGACACUGAAGCACGAAAGCGUGGGGAUCAAACAGGAUUAGAUACCCUGGUAGUCG